CACAGGGGAGAACCCAGAUCAGAGCGCGAGACUCUUCUUCACCCCGCAGGGGAGAGCAGUCAGCAUGCCGCUUGUCAGCCUGCUGUGGGCAGUCGUGGUGUCCACCUGUCUUGGAUCCAGCACAGCCCAGACGGUCACUCAGACUCAACCAGACACGUCUGUGCAGGAGACAGAGACUGUGACCUUGCACUGCACGUAUGACACCAGCGACAGUAAUUAUUAUUUGUUCUGGUACAAACAGCCUCCCAGCGGGGAGAUGAUUCUCAUUAUUCGCCAAGAAGCUUAUAAGCAAGAGAAUGCAACAAAGGAUCGCUUCUCUGUGAACUUCCAGAAAGCAAAAAAAUCCUUCGGUCUCAGGAUCUCAGAUUCUCGGCUGGAGGAUGCUGCGAUGUAUUUCUGUGCUCUCAUUGGAGGCACAGGUUUUGGAACAGCACAACUUGUCUUUGGAAGAGGGACUCAACUCAUCGUGGAACCAUGAAGCCAGCCUCCUGUCAAACCAUCCGUUUUCACCAUGAAAAAUGGGUCGACUGUUGCUUGUCUGGUGAAGGAUUUCUACCCUAAGAAUAUAAACAUAAAUCUUGAAUCAUCCAAGAAACUAGAAGAAUUUGAGCCUGCUAUCGUCAUCUCUCCCAGUGGGAAAUACAGUGCUGUCAAGCUUGGUCGGUAUGGAGAUUCAAAUUCAGUGACCUGUUCAGUCCAACACAACAAUGAAAUCGUGCGCUCCACUGAUUUUGAAUCGAAGAAAAAAUCUUCAGGUACCGUAAAACCAACAGAACCUGAAAACAUGGAGCAAACUUCAGAGAGCCUCUAUGGGCCCAAAGUUCAUCACAGCUCACAGUUCACAGCGCGGAAGGUGAACAUGCUGUCCCUCACAGUGCUGGGGCUCCGAAUGGUGUUUGCCAAGAGUCUGGCCGUCAAUUUUCUCUUGACUGCCAAGUUAUUUUUCUUUUAAGGCUGACCGGCAUGAGAAGGCUCCAUUAUGAGACUCUCACGUUAUGUCUUCACAAAAGCCUACAGAGAAGCUGUCUCCUAGGCUUCUGCCUACUCGGUGAUUCAAGCUGACCUAUCCCAGCCUUGCUUAAACGGCUGCUACCCAAACCAGUUUUCCUUCAAAGGCAACAAACCCAGCUCAUUUUCCAGCCUGGUGGAAAGACAAAAGUCCUGGGGACUUUUUGACCACCUGGGGACUUUUUGACCAUUAUGGUCCUAACUGCUCUUUUUGCUGCUUUAUAAAGAGAUAUAGGACUCAUUUUCUUUUUCAUUUCCACAACUGAUACACUUUGAAAAAGGUGUUUUGUUCCUUUGACUUUCUUUGCCUUCAGAAGUAGAAAGUGGGAGCCAAAAGAUUCCCAGCUCCAUGGUCCCCUAGGAAAAUAGACCCUGGGGGACAGAGAGCAGAGGGCCUUACCUAACAUGGAUGGCUCUGCUCAGCCCAGCCCUAGGUUUGCCUUGAGCUGGCAUAUUCUCGGCCGCAAAAGCACUUUCUGCUUUUCCUAGUACUUUACAAACAAAAUUACAUUUGACUCCUCAUGCAGCCAGUGGGGUUUCUAAAACCUCAUCCAGAUAUUCUCCAAGCUAUCAACAAGGAUCAGAGUAAAAUACAGAGAAAAUACACUUCUUUCUAUUAGUGAAUUUAACAAACAUGAAUCGACCCCCUCUAAGUUCCAGGUACUGUGCCGGGGGUGCAAAGAUGAGUAAGACGUGGGCCUGCUCUCAAGCCACAAACUGUGCAAAUGUUUCUGGAGGGAGGGAAGAGGAACAGGAGCCCUCGGAUUUUGGCUGUAAAAAGAUUAUCUUUUUGCCUGCCAAUCUGGGCACGGGGAAUUUGAGGUCAGGGGAUGAUGAUUCUUGCCUGCCCCGUGUUGUUGAUGGUUUUCUGCCCUUCCCAGUGCUGUUCUCUGUUGCAUUUAUUAAAGUGCAUUGAGUGUU